AGAAGCACUCUAGCUACAGAUUAGAAUGAUGACAAGAGUAAUACCUUCCUAGUGAAGAUGACUUUUAUUUCAGGACUAUAUUAAGUUUCCCAACUUCUGUCAUGAUAUAGUCCAAAGAGAACCUGGACCACGCAGACAUCAAACAGAACAUGACACUGACCCAUUCUAUCAGUGACGUUGUGCUGAUUGCACAGGACAGAUGAGAGGCUCGUAUACUAGAAGUCUUGAUGAAGAAAAAUUGUGCCCCAGCAAGGAUUAUACCCAGAGCCUCAUCCAUUCAUACCUGAUUUAGAUACUUAGAUGAUGAGUAAUAGAAAAGCAUCAUCUUUAUGUAAAUCACUGUACUUGGCUUCGUGAGAAAUAUAAAAAUGAAUUGCUUCAAUCCCUGGACUCAAGGAUCCUGUGUUACCAAGGUGGUUAUCAAACCUGGGUCAAAGUUGAAUCACCUGAGGAUCUUUUAGAACAUACACAGCCAGCUGGACCUGCCCUCAGCUACCUCAUCUCUCUCUGUGACCUAAUGACAGAAAAGCACAUGAUUCUCUUCACCUGACUUCAUAUAUGGGUCCAUGUCAUAUGAUACUUCAAAAUCUGUGAUUCCAUGAAGCCAAGAGUAGCUCUUCAACAGGAAAUGAAUGAGUGCUUCAGCUUCUGAUCCCAUUAGUAAGAAAAUACAGUCUUAUGAGCAAUGAUGGAGCUGCAUCUCUUAGGGGCAUUUGAUUCCCAAGAGACCAAAGAGCAAAGAGAAUGUCAAUUUAAAAAAAUCAAAUGUUUCCAUGACUUAGCUAUUUAACUGCUUUAAAAUGAAUGAAUGCUGCUUCAAGUUCUUUCAAAUACCCCACAUCUUGGCAACAACGAAAGGAAUUAACAUGAAGAAAAUUUACAAUCUUUCAUCACAUCGAACAAUGUCCCACAUUUGAAAAGUUCACAGCACAGAUUUCUGGUUACUGAAAGAAAGGAAAGACCUUCUUUGGAUUUGAAUAAACAGAUGGACUUUCUUCUCCUU
rnacentral:lncRNA from 1 species